AUGAAAAGAGUGUUAACACCUUCCCUUUAUAUAACCUACCCCGAAUUCAAGAAAAUAUCUCAAAGGUCUUUCCUGUUCUUUUCACUAUUUCCUUAUUGGAUAAAAGAAAAGUCGGUGACGACUCUUGCUAUCCGCAACAAUUGCGAUAAAAUGCAAAACACCCAAGUCAGUUCUCCCACCGUAUUACACUAA